GACGAACGCUGGCGGCGUGCCUAAUACAUGCAAGUCGAACGAGAGCAACCGGUGCUUGCACUGGUCAAUCUAGUGGCGAACGGGUGAGUAACACGUGGGUAACCUGCCCAUCAGAGGGGGAUAACAUCCGGAAACGGAUGCUAAAACCGCAUAGGUCUUCGAACCGCAUGGUUUGAAGAGGAAAAGAGGCGCAAGCUUCUGCUGAUGGAUGGACCCGCGGUGCAUUAGCUAGUUGGUGAGGUAACGGCUCACCAAGGCCGUGAUGCAUAGCCGACCUGAGAGGGUGAUCGGCCACAUUGGGGCUGAGACACGGCCCAAACUCCUACGGGAGGCAGCAGUAGGGAAUCUUCCGCAAUGGACGCAAGUCUGACGGAGCAACGCCGCGUGAGUGAAGAAGGUUUUCGGAUCGUAAAACUCUGUUGUUAGAGAAGAACAAGUGCUAGAGUAACUGUUAGCGCCUUGACGGUAUCUAACCAGAAAGCCACGGCUAACUACGUG
rnacentral:rRNA from 1 species